UUUAGAGUUUGAUCCUAGCUCAGGAUGAACGCUGGCGACGUGGAUAAGGCAUGCAAGUCGAAUGGGUUUAGACCCAUGGCAGACGAGGUAGUAACACGUAGGUAACGUACCCCGAAGUCGGAGAUAAUCAGUCGAAAGGCUGGAUAAUACCCGAUGGUCCGAGCAUUGUGAGAAUUUUUAAAAGACGGGAAGUCGGGUUUCCAUUGGAAACCCGACUUCCAAAAGUCUUUUAAAAAUUCUCAUAGUGCUCGGUAAAGAUUUAUCGCUUUGGGAACGGCCUGCGGAGUAUCAGCUUGUUGGUAGUGUAAUGGACUACCAAGGCUAUGACGCUUAGGGGAGGUGAGAGCCUGACCCCCACCGAUGGAACUGAGACACGGUCCAUACACCUACGGGUGGCCGCAGUCGAGAAUCUUCCGCAAUGGACGAAAGUCUGACGGAGCGACGUCGCGUGAUUGAUGAAGCCCUUCGGGGUGUAAAAAUCUUUUAUAGGUGAGGAAGUUUAUUGACGUUAGCCUAUGAAUAAGGGGUUGCUAAACUCGUGCCAGCAGCAGCGGUAAAACGAGUGCCCCGAGCGUUAUCCGGAAUUAUUGGGCGUAAAGGGUGCGUAGGUGGUUUUAUUAGUCUUUUGUUAAAGACUCUGGCUCAACCGGAGGAAUGCAAAAGAAACGGUAAAACUAGAGGAUGUGAGGGGUGUACGGAACUCAUAGUGUAGGGGUGAAAUCCGUUGAUAUUAUGGGGAACACCAAAAGCGAAGGCAGUACACUGGCACAUUUCUGACACUGAGGCACGAAAGCGUGGGUAGCGAAUGGGAUUAGAUACCCCAGUAGUCCACGCCCUAAACGAUGAUAACUAGCUUUUCGGAGUAUCGACCCUCUGAGAGGCGCAGCUAACGCGUUAAGUUAUCCGCCUGGGGAGUACGAGCGCAAGCUUAAAACUCAAAGGAAUAGACGGGGACUCGCACAAGCGGUGGAUCAUGUGGCUUAAUUCGACGAUAAACGAAGAACCUUACCAGGGCUUGAAACUUUGCUGAAAAUUUUAGGAAACUAGAACCUUCUUCGGACAGCAAAGCAGGUGAUGCAUGGCCGUCGUCAGUUCGUGGCUUGAGUUGUUCCCUUAAGUGGGGUAACGAACGCAACCCUCGUCUGUCUGUUAUACGUGUCAGGCGAGACUGCCCAGCCCUUUGUGAAUUUUUGAAGAGACUGGAAGUCGGGUUUCCAAUGGAAACCCGACUUCCAAAAGUCUCUUCAAGAAAAAUUCUCAAAGGGCUGGGAGGAAGGAGGGGAUGACGCCAGGUCAGCAUGUCCCUUUGAUGCCCUGGGCUGCACACAUGAUACAAUGGUCACUACAACAGGUUGCGACGGGGAGACCCUGAGCUAAUCCUCUAAAGGUGGCCCCAGUUCGGAUUGAGGUCUGCAACUCGACCUCAUGAAGUUGGAAUCGCUAGUAAUCGCGGAUCAGAUAUGCCGCGGUGAAUACGUUCUCGAGUCUUGUACUC
rnacentral:rRNA from 1 species